GACGAACGCUGGCGGCGUGCCUAAUACAUGCAAGUAGAACGCUGAAGAGAGGAGCUUGCUCUUCUUGGAUGAGUUGCGAACGGGUGAGUAACGCGUAGGUAACCUGCCUGGUAGCGGGGGAUAACUAUUGGAAACGAUAGCUAAUACCGCAUAAAAUGGAUUAUCGCAUGACAAUUCAUUGAAAGGUGCAAAUGCAUCACUACCAGAUGGACCUGCGUUGUAUUAGCUAGUUGGUGGGGUAACGGCUCACCAAGGCGACGAUACAUAGCCGACCUGAGAGGGUGAUCGGCCACACUGGGACUGAGACACGGCCCAGACUCCUACGGGAGGCAGCAGUAGGGAAUCUUCGGCAAUGGACGGAAGUCUGACCGAGCAACGCCGCGUGAGUGAAGAAGGUUUUCGGAUCGUAAAGCUCUGUUGUAAGAGAAGAACGAGUGUGAGAGUGGAAAGUUCACACUGUGACGGUAUCUUACCAGAAAGGGACGGCUAACUACGUGCCAGCAGCCGCGGUAAUACGUAGGUCCCGAGCGUUGUCCGGAUUUAUUGGGCGUAAAGCGAGCGCAGGCGGUUAGAUAAGUCUGAAGUUAAAGGCUGUGGCUUAACCAUAGUACGCUUUGGAAACUGUUUAACUUGAGUGCAAGAGGGGAGAGUGGAAUUCCAUGUGUAGCGGUGAAAUGCGUAGAUAUAUGGAGGAACACCGGUGGCGAAAGCGGCUCUCUGGCUUGUAACUGACGCUGAGGCUCGAAAGCGUGGGGAGCAAACAGG
rnacentral:rRNA from 1 species